rnacentral:rRNA from 1 species
CCUACGGGAGGCAGCAGUGGGGAAUAUUGCACAAUGGGGGAAACCCUGAUGCAGCGACGCCGCGUGAGUGAAGAAGUAAUUCGUUAUGUAAAGCUCUAUCAGCAGGGAAGAAACUGACGGUACCUGAGUAAGAAGCCCCGGUUAACUACGUGCCAGCAGCCGCGGUCAUACGUAGGGGGCAAGCGUUAUCCGGAUUUACUGGGUGUAAAGGGAGCGUAGACGGCAGUGCAAGUCUGGAGUGAAAGGCGGGGGCUCAACCCCCGGACUGCUCUGGAAACUGUACGGCUGGAGUGCAGGAGAGGUAAGUGGAAUUCCUAGUGUAGCGGUGAAAUGCGUAGAUAUUAGGAGGAACACCAGUGGCGAAGGCGGCUUACUGGACUGUAACUGACGUUGAGGCUCGAAAGUGUGGGGAGCAAACAGGAUUAGAUACCCCUGUAGUC